rnacentral:rRNA from 1 species
CCUACGGGAGGCAGCAGUGAGGAAUAUUGGUCAAUGGCCGGAAGGCUGAACCAGCCAAGCCGCGUGAAGGACGAAGGUGCCAAGCAUUGUAAACUUCUUUUGUCAAGGGACAAAAUCAGGCUCGAGAGCCUGACCGAGGGUACUUGAAGAAAAAGCAUCGGCUAACUCCGUGCCAGCAGCCGCGGUAAUACGGAGGAUGCGAGCGUUAUCCGGAUGUAUUGGGUUAAAAGGGUGCGUAGGCGGACUGUUAAGUCAGCGGUAAAAGCCCGGGGCUAAACCCCGGCGAGCCGUUGAAACUGGCUGUCUUGUGAUGUCGAGAGGUAUGCGGAAUGCGCAGUGUAGCGGUGAAAUGCUUAGAUAUCAGGAGGAACAUCGGUGGCGUAAGCGCUUUACUGGGCCGUAAUUGACACUGAGGAACGAAAGCCGGGGUAGCAAAUGGGAUUAGAUACCCUGGUAGUC